CUAAUGGUGCACUUGUCCUGUGAAAUGCUGCUGCAGAAAGUUGAGGAAGCUUCUGGGUGUUCUGCACCUGGGCCUUGCAGAGCACACAGGCCCUAAACAGCCAUGUCUGAGAUAUUAGUACCAGCCACCUGAUGUCCAGCUCCUCUGAGAUGUAGGUUCUGCUUCAAGGGGCCCCUCCCCAGAGUUUCAGAGGUACCAGCACCCGCUGGACAGCAUCUCUCCUUAGAGACUGUGGGUCCCAGCACAUGGAGACCUGCCUCCAAGCUUCUACAGCCUCAUGAGCAAUCUUUUCCCUUUGUUCCAUUAGUCCUACAGGUGAAGGCUGCCUGUUGAAAUCACUGCUCUGUGUUAUCUCAGUGUAUUUUUUUUUUGUUUGCCUUUGUACUCCUCCAGUACUUGUUUAACCAAUUUUCUAUGUUAAAUUUUCUCUAUUAAAAUAUCUGGUGUAAUUACGCUUUUC
rnacentral:lncRNA from 10 species